AAGAAAGUAAAAACUACUUAUAAAAAAUGUUAAUACAAAACAUAAUACAAAAACAUGAUCAAAACAGCCAUAUCGAGUUGUUAUAUGAAAUUACCAAAAAAUAAUAAAUUACAAAUAUGACACGAAAUGCGUUCCAUACAUUUUUUCACACGAAAAAAGGGGGUAUAGAAUAAACAACUGAAAACCCGAAAAAAUGGGAAUCUCAGGUCUAGGGAAUUACAAAAAGGGAAAAAGGUAAGUAUUAACCACGUAAGUAUCAUACCAGGUAAGUAUUGUUUACAAAACAAUGUAUUUUGAUUGUCAAACCGACAUACCAUACAACGACAUAAACAUUGCAAAAUGCGAGAAAAUAAUC
rnacentral:lncRNA from 1 species